AGGGAAAAAAAGAAGCAAAUGAUACCAAGACAAGCUCAUAUCAGAGAUUUAAUCGGCAAAUGUGUGUGGAAGAAAAUACAGUGAGAUGAGUCAGAAGACAACAAAGGAGGGUCCCCGACUCUCCAAGAACCAGAGGUUCUCAGAGCACUUCAGCAUCCACUGCUGCCCGCCCUUCACCUUCCUCAACUCCAAGCGGGAGAUCGUGGACCGGAAGUACAGCAUCUGCAAGAGUGGCUGCUUCUACCAGAAGAAGGAGGAGGACUGGAUCUGCUGCGCUUGCCAGAAGACCAGAUUGAAAAGGAGAAGCAAGCCAACCCCAAAGAGGAAGUGACCAAGCAAGUGAAUGGAUGGCCUCAGCUCCUGGACUCCCUGUUUUGCAACAUAUCUGCCCUCGGACAAGUUAUCUGGCUUUGGCAACUUCCAUCUCCCAUAGCCCCCUUGGCAUGGGGUCCUGGGGACAGCCAGCCUGGAGCACUUUGAAGAUGUCAUUCCUUUGCUUUCUGUCUUCUGUUGUUACCGCUGAGAAAUCUGCUGUCAGUCUGCUUGUCCUUCUGUUGACUCGAGUUUCUUCAAUCUGAAGAUAUGUAUCUUUCUUCAGGGAUACACAAAAAAGAUUGUUUUACAACCAUCAGUAUGGAAAAAAUAAAAAAAAAAUCAUGUUGGCAGGAUGUGGGAAGAAUUCUCAUAAACUACCAAUGAGAAUUUGUGAACAAUUACAACAUCAUCAGGGUGCAAUAUGGGAAUAGUAAUGCAGGUUAUUGUAUCUUUUGUGCUCAUGCAAUUAUCUUAGAAAAAAAACUUACAUUUGUGGAAAAAUGAGAUACACCCAAAUUUGUUUACUGAAUCAUUGUUUACCAUUGAGGAAGAAAAGACAGAUAAUUGAAGUUAACUAAAAUGUCCACUAACUGUUCACCACAAAUGAACGAAUCAAUUGUGACAUAUUUAUGAAUAAAAUACUAAAGAAGAGUCAAGACACAUGAAUCAGAUGUACCUAUAACAAGUAAGUAAAUUUGGAGAAACAAAUAAGGAAUAUAAAAGGCAAACAGUGGAGGUAAAUGCACUACGAUGCCUUUUAAGAACCAACAGUAGUAUAUUGCAUAUUGCUCAAUAAAUAAAAACCAUACUUCACAUUUUUUCUAUGAUCAAAAAUGACAAC